AGAGUUUGAUCAUGGCUCAGGACGAACGCUGGCGGCGUGCCUAACACAUGCAAGUCGAGCGGAGAUUAGUUGAAGAUUUAUCUGAUACUAAUUUUAGCGGCGGACGGGUGAGUAACGCGUGGGCAACCUGCCUCGUACUGGGGGAUAACACUGGGAAACUAGUGCUAAUACCGCAUAAUAAAGCACUACCGCAUGGUAGA
rnacentral:rRNA from 1 species